rnacentral:tRNA from 1 species
AGGAGCGUCGGUUAAAGGCAAACCAACGGUCUCCAAAACCGUGACUGUAGGUUCGAUUCCUACCGCUCCUGCCA